GCCAGAGCAGCAUCAGAGCGGAGUCUCCUUGCUCUGGGCUGCUCCAGGCCAGGCUAUGCGGAAAGUGGGUUGUUAUGAGGAUUCAAUGAGGAGACCUGUAUGAAGUGCCUUCCCCUGUGCCUGGCUCAUAUGUUUAUCCUGGCAGGUUCUGGCCUUUGGGAAGACUCUGAGACACUGAGAGACCCGGCCCCCCAUUUCUUCUCUGACCCAGGGUACAGGUUACCUUCAGCGCCAUGGCCUUUUCAUCAAGGUUCGCCUUCUGGGAGCAAAAGGAAAGUUGGAUUUUAAAAUCUUUAUGUUUUUCCUGUGUGCUUGGCAUGUUGUAUCUGCAGGCAGGAGACUGGCUUGUGGGAGAGGGAGCUUUGGAAGCUAGAGAUGGAUUGGGGCAUGUGUGUAUAAUUGGGGGUGGCAGGGAGAAUGACGGGGGCUGGUGAACUCCCUAUUCUGGCUGGAUGGGCUCCUGCACUGAGUCAUGCUCCUCCCCUAAGCCCCACCUCUGGUAAGGUGAGCUGCCUUUUGUCCUGCUGGUGUCCCUCUGGGUUAACCCCUCCACACCCUUCCCACCACCCUGCUGCCUUGACUCACCCCUGGAACGUGGGCUGCUGUGGAGGGACCGCUGGAACUGGGUCUCCCUGAUCCUGGGGGCUGCAGUGGGUAGGAGGACAAGGGGCCAAGGGUGGGGAGUCAGGCCAGUUGGCCACCUGGGUCCAGAGGGUGAUUCAGGCCACAGACUUGGGACUGCCUGUGUGUGUGCCUUUAUGCGUGUGCAUAGUCCCCAGCUGGGCAGUGACCUACAACAGCCAGAGCCCUUCUGAUGGGGGAGGGAGCAGUGAGUCAGCCUGAUGCUAAAUCCAGAGCUGAGCUCAGAGCUGGGCCCAGUGUUUCAGACACUUGGGGGGCACCCAGUGUUUUCCCCAAUGCCACACCUUGGGCCAGACAUUUGGGGUCCCAAACUUGAGCCACUGGAGGGAGGACAGAUUUGGAGCUGGUGAAGAACACAGAGUGGACUUGGAAUCUGGGCUACCCCGGCACCCAAGUUAACAGCACUGCGUGCAGUAAUGAGUGUGUCUGUGUGGUUUGCGAACACUUGUCCUCCCACUAACCUGUGUGCCCCAGAACUACUGCAUGGUGUGAUCCCUGGGGCAGCAAGGGGGAGAGUGAUGGCUUGGUGGGGGGCAGCAGGCACAGACCUAGACCCUGCCACUCUUCCUCCCUCUGUCCACCAGUCCCUCCCUUCCCUUUCUCUGCUCCGAUUCCAAUUCUUAAAGAAGUAGGCUCCACUCUGGUGAAUAUUUGCCAUUUCCCCUCGUCCUUGGCAUUGUGAGCUAACUAUGAAGAUUGAGCCCG
rnacentral:lncRNA from 1 species